CAGCCGCCGCGGUAAAACGAAGGGUGCAAGCGUUAAUCGGAAUUACUGGGCGUAAAGCGUGCGUAGGCGGUUUGUUAAGUCUGCUGUGAAAUCCCCGGGCUCAACCUGGGAAUGGCAGUGGAUACUGGCAAGCUAGAGUGUGUCAGAGGAUGGUGGAAUUCCUGGUGUAGCGGUGAAAUGCGUAGAGAUCGGGAGGAACAUCAGUGGCGAAGGCGGCCAUCUGGGACAACACUGACGCUGAGGCACGAAAGCGUGGGGAGCAAACAGGAUUAGAUACCCGCGUAGUCCCUGUCUCUUAUAC
rnacentral:rRNA from 1 species